GGGGUGUACUCAGCUCGAUCGAAGGUUUUGAGAUCGUCUCCCCUGCGGCGGCGACGAAGCGUCUGAGCUUCCUUUCGCUAACUGAAAAGGCGAGUCGUGAUUUCUAUAUAAAUAUAUUCUGGAAGGCUCUCCCUUUCCCCUUUAUCAGCCCUCUACCAGAUAUGAACAAUCUUUGUGAAUUCCUAUUUAGAUUCUUAGAAGAGCCCAUUUCAAAGGAUGUAUGCUGCUCAGGUCAAGCUUGGAGAGCUAGAAGCUGAAAAUUGUGGUGUUUAUGUCUCCUCGCAACUGUUCUUAUACAGAUCCUUAGUGUUUAUUGUUACAUCUGCUCUAUUGUUUGAAACGUUGUUGCCUAGGAUUGUCUCAGACAUCAUUUGAUAUAUGCUAGAUUCUGUAAAUAAGAGGAUGUUAUAAAAGCUAUGUUGGAGAGCCAUUCAAGAGUACUUCAUGAUUUAGCUUUUAACACAGUUGCUUGGAAUGAUUCUGUUAUUUUUGUAGGCAAAACUAUGGGACGUUGUGGAUAACUUUUUCUCCACUUUACUUCUAUGUUUGUUCUUUCCCUUCUAUUCUAAUAUGUCCUUUAAAUAUAACUCAGAUCAGAAUCAAUGUAAAAUCUAUGAAUAAAUGUAUUUACUUCUUUCUGUAUAUAGUAAGCAAA